UUUGGUUUCUCUUUAAAGGAAAAUUUCAGAGGUCUGGCGGCUGCCACCAGAGGAAGGACAACCACUGGGUCUCAGCCUAGGCCAGGAAACAGAAAUUUAGAUCAACUUGAAUUGAAAUCAAUUCAUCCUUCCUGCCUGGAAGCGUUUUGCUGAGGAAAACUAUGAUGGUGGCAGAUCAGAGAUU
rnacentral:lncRNA from 1 species